rnacentral:rRNA from 1 species
GAUGAACGCUAGCGGGAGGCCUAACACAUGCAAGUCGAACGGGAUUGAGAGCUUGCUCUCAUGAGAGUGGCGCACGGGUGAGUAACGCGUAUGCAACCUGCCUUUAACAGAGAGAUAGCCCAUAGAAAUGUGGAUUAAUACCUCAUGGUUCUAUUGUUCCGCAUGGGAUGAUAGAUAAAGCUCCGGCGGUUAAAGAUGGGCAUGCGUGACAUUAGCUAGUUGGUGAGGUAACGGCUUACCAAGGCAACGAUGUCUAGGGGUUCUGAGAGGAUGAUCCCCCACACUGGUACUGAGACACGGACCAGACUCCUACGGGAGGCAGCAGUGAGGAAUAUUGGUCAAUGGGCGCAAGCCUGAACCAGCCAUCCCGCGUGCAGGAAGACGGCCCUAUGGGUUGUAAACUGCUUUUAUACACCAAGAAAAAUCUCCACGUGUGGAGACCCGACGGUAGUGUAUGAAUAAGCAUCGGCUAACUCCGUGC